UAAUAAUAAUUAAUUAAUUUGUUUAGUGCGCGCGGAACUAGUAGGCCGCGCCUUAGGUAUGUGAGCGGUGGGACGGAGAGGCGGGGGCGCUUGAUUUUGAC